rnacentral:rRNA from 1 species
UACGUAGGGGGCAAGCGUUGUCCGGAAUUAUUGGGCGUAAAGCGCGCGCAGGCGGUCAUUUAAGUCUGGUGUUUAAUCCCGGGGCUCAACCCCGGAUCGCACUGGAAACUGGGUGACUUGAGUGCAGAAGAGGAGAGUGGAAUUCCACGUGUAGCGGUGAAAUGCGUAGAUAUUGGGAAGAACACCGGUGGCGAAGGCGGCUCACUGGCUCAUUACUGACGCUCAGGCGCGACAGCGUGGGGAUCAAACAGG